rnacentral:lncRNA from 1 species
CAACAUCAGCAUAUCCAGGAGCAUUUUACGUUGUAGUUUGUCAUUUGAGACUAAUCUGUUGCUGUCUUCUCUGCUUCGGGAUGUUGAGUUCUUUUUACCUUUUUCUCUGUAACCUUAGACUUCGCUGGGUACUGACGUUUUUUUGUGUGUGUGUGUGUGUGGAUGGAUUUGGUAGUGCUACGUUGUUGCAUAAUGUCAUAAUGUCCAAUUAAUGGUGCGAUGCCAUAAUAGUUGUUGAGUAAUGCAAGCUGGCAUAUUUUCAUCUUUGCAUAUUUUGUUUUUUUACUGUCUUUUAUUCCGAAACCGCGGCAAAAAGUUUGCCUCAUAUAUUAAUUAAGCAGAGAGGAGAGUUUGUUGGAGAGUUUGUUACAGCAGGCAUCCUUACACGGCAUGAAAGAUUACUCACGCAAAAUAAUAGACACCGGUUUCUUUGCUCCGGCGGUGACCCAAAGAUUUGGCUCGUUAGUGAUCGUAGUGAGCAAAAUUGGCGGUGGGGCGCUCUUGUGCCGGAAGACCCGGACAUUUCUCUCGUUCCAAAUGGUCCAUGACACGAGCAUGGCCAGCGAGGCCAUCGCUUUUCUGUUGGGGACUCCUGCGCCGGUUCGAUUUGUCCACCAAUUCUUGACGGAAGCAUCCAGAUGCCACAAGGAGGUGUCCAUAUGUUCUAACCGAAAUUUCUCAAUGACCAUCUUUCAAAGCCGAAUGGAAUAGCAGCACUUGAAGAAAAGGUGUGGCCCACUCUCUUACUCCCUUUUGCAAAGAGGGCAAAGUCCAUAGUUUGGCCAUCCCCACUUGGCAAGCCUGUCGGCUGUCCAGAUUCUAUCUUGGAUAGCGAGUCAAGCAAAACUUUGCCUUUGGCUGUGCCCAAACCUUCCAAAUCAUGCUCUCCAUGAGAGAGAGGACCAAGCCAAGAAAUUGUGCCUUAUAGGCGGAGGCUGUGGUGUAGUGCCCAUCGGUCGUGUUCUUCCAUAUAAUAGUAUCCUCGGAAAGCUCAUCAAGAUGGAAAUUAUGCACGAGCGUCCAAAGCGUGAAGAAUUGCCAAAUGUGCUCGACUGAGAUGACCGUGUAGGGGUUGAUCUUGAAGAUCCAUGCGUUGUUUUUUAGGGCCUCUAGCACCUUCCAAUUUUUUCUCAUGAAAGCCUCAAAGAUUAGUGGAGCAACAUCCUUUGGCUUGGUUCCAUGUAGCCAAGGGUAGUCCCAGAAAGGUGUUUUGGCCCCAUUCCCCACAGAUAAUGGUAGUUGAUGCAUAGAAGAAAUAUAGAUCCUCAUCGUCACAUGGAUUGCUCAAUCCGACCCACAUCUUGUUUGGCUCUGUCCAUUCAAACCAUGGCAAUCUGAGGCGUAAGGCGCGUGCAAACUUGACGGUGUUGAGGACUCCAAGACCACCAUACUCCCGCGCGCGGCAAACAACCUUCCAAUUUACCUUGCACUUUGCGCCCGUGGUCUUAUCCGAGCCAGACCAAAGGAAAACUCAUUCCAGCUUGUUCACAUUUUGCAAGAUGCUCCGUGGGACGACCAACUAAGUGAUGAAGUAGACCACGAGGGAGGUGAUGACAGAUUUUACUAGUGCUGUACGCCCAAUGGUCGUUAUAUUUUGCCCUUCAUAAGUACCCAACUUGCUCGCAAUCUUGUCCUCAAGAAAUUGGAAGUCCGCCUUCUUUAGUUGCCCAAUGGAUAGGGGGAGGCCCAAGUAUCUUAAAGGGAAGGACGCUCUAGUUGCCGGGAAACUUUGUAGAAUGUUUCCCAAGAUAACAUUAUUGCACCAGAUGGGCACAACUGAGCUCUUGUGAAAGUUGGUGCAUAGACCGGUGACCUCCCUGAAACCACGUAAGAUCGUCGAGAAAUUGUCAAUGUCUUGGCAACGAACGAACUUGGGCAGGUCUUCUUCACGGACCUUGUUACAUAUCAACAUCAUCAUAUCCAGAAGCAUUUUACGUUGUAGCUUGUCAUUUGAGACUAAUCUGUUGUUGUCUUCUCUGCUUCGGGAUGUUGAGUUCUUUUUUUUACCCUUUUCUCUAUAACCUUAGACUUCGUUGGGUAUUGACGUUGCGUGUGUGUGGAUGGAUUUGGUAGUGCUACGUUGUUGCAUAAUGUGAUAGUGUCCAAUUAAUGUUGCAAUGCCAUAAUAGUUGUUGAGUAUUGCAGGCUGGUAUAUUUUCUUUCUUUUUCCGAUUCUCGUAUUUCCUCUAGUUUAAAUAACGUUGGAAUUAAAAUUGGAAAAAAUGAAAAUGUUGUGUGCAUUUCGGUGGGGGUGAAACACAUGGAGAUAGACCGAUUAAAGGUUUCUCCAAACUCCAAAGUGUUCGAGCCCCCUACCAUACCCUGAAACCGAGGAGGAAGAACCGGCGGCUGCUUAUGACGGCCCGCUUCUCUCCCACAUGGUUGGUGCGGUAACCGAGGUAGGAUUAGAUGACGUACGACCUGGGUUCAUGUUUUGUGACUUCACCGCGUCCCCGCGUAAAUCAAUAUCCCACUCAAAAAAGAAACAAAAACCGCCCAAGAAGGCGAAGGUAUCCACCCUGACCCGAGUUUCCACGUGAGAGGCAUGUUUUGGGAUAGCAGAGGUCUUUCAGACUUGGCUAAACAUAAACACGUCGGUGACUGUGUGCGUGACCAUGGGUUAGAUUUUGUGGCAAUUUCCGAGGCUGGUAAUGUGGCAAUUUCCAAGGUUGUCAACGAAGUUCGGCAACGAACGAACUUGGGCAAGUCUUCUUCACGGACCUUGUUACAUAUCAACAUCAUCAUAUCCAGGAGCAUUUUACGUUGUAGUUUGUCAUUUGAGAAUAAUCUGUUGUUGUCUUCUCUGCUUCAGGAUGUUGAGUUUUUUUUUACCUUUUCUCUGUAACCUUAGACUUCGCUGGGUAUUGACGUUGUGUCGGUUGUGUGUGGAUGGAUUUGGUAGUGCUACGUUGUUGCAUAAUGUGAUAAUGUACAAUUAAUGUUGCAGUGCCAUAAUAGUUGUUGAGUAAUGCAAGCUGGCAUAUUUUCAUCUUUGCUUAUUUUGGUUUUUUACUGUCUUUGAUCUAUAUUAAUGGUCGCUGAUUUAGUAAUACUGGCAAAAGAGGUUCAUCCGGCAAACUACAGACUCCCAAGAGCAACAUAAAA